ACUCCUACGGGAGGCAGCAGUGGGGAAUAUUGCACAAUGGGCGCAAGCCUGAUGCAGCCAUGCCGCGUGUGUGAAGAAGGCCUUCGGGUUGUAAAGCACUUUCAGUCGUGAGGAAGGUAGUGUAGUUAAUAGCUGCAGUAUUUGUACGUUAGCGACAGAAGAAGCACCGGCUAACUCCGUGCCAGCAGCCGCGGUAAUACGGAGGGUGCGAGCGUUAAUCGGAAUUACUGGGCGUAAAGCGCAUGCAGGUGGUUUGUUAAGUCAGAUGUGAAAGCCCGGGGCUCAACCUCGGAAUAGCAUUUGAAACUGGCAGACUAGAGUACUGUAGAGGGGGUAGAAUUUCAGGUGUAGCGGUGAAAUGCGUAGAGAUCUGAAGGAAUACCGGUGGCGAAGGCGGCCCCUGGACAGAUACUGACACUCAGAUGCGAAAGCGUGGGAGC
rnacentral:rRNA from 1 species